rnacentral:rRNA from 1 species
UACGUAGGGGGCUAGCGUUGUCCGGAAUCAUUGGGCGUAAAGCGCGUGUAGGCGGUCCGGUAAGUCCGCUGUGAAAGUCGGGGGCUCAACCCUCGAAUGCCGGUGGAUACUGUCGGGCUAGAGUGCGGAAGAGGCGAGUGGAAUUCCUGGUGUAGCGGUGAAAUGCGCAGAUAUCGGGAAGAACACCAGUGGCGAAAGCGCUCUACUGGGCCAUAACUGACACUGAGGGACGAAAGCUAGGGGAGCGAAAGGG